AAAGUCGUAACAAGGUCUCCGUUGGUGAACCAGCGGAGGGAUCAUUACCGAGUUUACAACUCCCAAACCCCCCAUGUGAACCUUACCGACCCGUUGCCUCGGCGGGUGCCCCGGGCGCGUCGCAGCCCCGGACCAAGGCGCCCGCCGGAGGACCAACAUCGCAAAACUCUCUCCGAUUCCUCCUCUGAGCGUCCCCCCUCCCGCAAGGGCCGGGGACGAGAAAAGCAAAAAUGAAUCAAAACUUUCAACAACGGAUCUCUUGGUUCUG
rnacentral:misc_RNA from 1 species